AUAAUAAAAAUGGCGUAAAGACUGACAGUGGCACCCAAUGGUCCACUUUGUGCAUAAAAUCAUCAUAUUUUAGCGCGAGGGAAAUAGAGCGUUACCCACGCCAACAAUUUCCCCAUUUUGUACAGGCAUGGCCCCUAAACCUUUCUUACUAAACAAGCUUUAGGGCACUUUUAUCUAAUGAUAGUUAAUAUAUUAACCGAUCGACUCGUCACCAAUUGGAAGAAGAUGGUUAGCAAGAUCAAGGGCCAAGCUCUCAUGGGAAUCUACGGCAAAAACAAUGGGGUAGAGAAAUUCCACAAAUUCUAGAAUACAGGAGCUACCUGUGAGCAGCGAGAAGACAGUCAUUCCUCAUCAAGUGAUUCAAAUUCAAGGAGUUCUUCUGGGAGUGAUUCGGACGUCAAUAAUGCAUAUUCAUGAGGUUGCAUUGAAUUAAUUGAAAUGGCCUCCCAAGAGUGGAAUCAAGUGGAGAGGUGGAUCAUAAAGUUUGUGCUAUAUAAUUGUCUUCGAUAAAUUUCAUUUGUACUUUUUGGUAUGAGCUGAAUUACGAAGAAGCUCUUUCGAUACAGGGGAUGGGUGUUAAAAUCGGUGAAGUGUGAUAUUGGCAUGAAUGAUACAGCUUGCAUGAUGAUUUGUUGGCAUGAAAGCCUCUUUUUGCAGUGUCAGCAUGGACUUGUUAGUUAUUUCUCUUUUGCAUUCUUUUUUUUUUUUCCUUUUUUUGUUAUUGAUUUUACCUUGUAAAUUAUCAAUGGAUCUAAAUCUAAAAUAAUCAUUACAGAAUCGAAGUGACUUCUUUUGGGACUAUUAUUUUCUCAUCUAAAUCAAUGUAUACUUGAAGAGGAAUAUAGGGAUCAUCAUUUUUCUUAUGUUAUCUGCCCUUUGGUUGAGAAGGAUCGCCAUUUAAAUUUUGCAAGCACUUCUUUUGUAAGCACUUCUUAGGUGCUGAUUAUUGUAACCUUUCGAUGUUAAAGAAUUGGAAGUAGCAUCAAAAGUCCUUGCUAAUUCUAGCCAUGAAAAGGACACUCAAUGGGGGAAAAAUGUGAUUUCCCUGAUCUCUGGGUGCCUUUGUGUGUGUGUGUGUGUAUUUGUAGAUGUGGAAUAACUAACUUCUAAUCUUGAAACUAUAUAAUUAUGAAUUUGCAAAUGGGGCUGAUAUACGGGUGCCCAGUGGAAGACAUGGUAACUGGCUUGACCAUCCAAUGCAGGGGUUGGAAAUCACUCUAUUAUAAUCCAGAUAGGAAGGCCUUCUUGGGUGUUGCCCCAACAACCUUAGAUAUAGCUCUUAUUCAACACAAGAGGUGGUCCGAAGGCAUGUUUCAGAUAUUCUUCUCCAAGUAUUGCCCCUUCAUAUAUGGACGUGGGUAGAUAAAAUUGGGCGCCCAGAUUGGAUAUUGCAUCUAUCUUUUGUGGGCUCCAAUUUCCUUACCAGCGCCCUGUUAUGUGAUUGUUCCUCCUCUCUACAGCUCCCUAUUAUGUGAUUGUUCCUCCUCUCUGCGUGCUCCUUGACAUUCCCUUAUUCCCCCAUGUUUAUCUCUCUUUACCUUUCUAUUCUUAUGCUAGAGAUAUAUGUAUACUAUGUUUUUGAACUGCAUGUUAAAGAAACAAGCUAGAGUUAAUCAAUUUUAGAGAUAUUUGUGCUAUAUAUGCAUCUCCAUUAAUGCCACUCAUAUUGAUGUAGUACUGCCUUCUGCAUGCACACAUACUGACUCUUCUUUGUUAUUCCAGGUUAAAAGCCUAUGGUUCUUGCCUUUUGCAUAUGUUUUUCUAGCUAGGAAUACAUGCAGCAUCGCUAAGGCCCUGUGCUCUGGGGGUACACUCAAAGCUUGGUGGAACUCUCAACAAAUUUGGGUGAUCUGAAGGACUACUACAUUCUUUUUUAUGCAUUAAUUAAUUUUUUUAAUUAAAAACCUUGUCUCAACCAACUAAGCAAACGUGCUUUGCACGUUGCUCCUACCUAGUGUAGUUAAUAUGUGUCAAAAAACCUCCUCAUUAAAUUAGGCAAAUUCAAAACAAAUUUACAUGUUUAUUCACGAAAUAUGAAAAACUACACUAACUUAGACAAAUAUUAAAAUAAUAUUUUUUUACUCCAGGCAAAUGCGCAGGAACCCUUUUGCUAGUGAAAUCGUUCUAGUUUCUUUUAUCCGUUCCCCCCUUUACUCCCGUAACUCUCUCUCUCUCUCUCUCUCUCUCUCUCUCUCUCUCUCUCUCUCUCUCUCUCUCUCUCUCUCUCUCUCUCUCUCGAUUCACUCGAGCACCACAACUGAGCCCCUCCACUCUCACUCCCAACAAGCCCCACGACCAAUUGAGUCCCCUCCUAGCACCAUUGAGCCCUCCCACCAUGCCCACCACAAUUGAGCCUCUUCCCAACAUUAUCCCCUUCCGCAACAUUCACCUCACCCACCACGACUGAGCCCCUUCCUGUAACAUUCAUCGAUCAACAUUCACCACACCCCCUCCAACGACAUGUGAAGCCACCAUGAAGUGUCUCCUCCUUGACAAUAACCACAAGAACCCUCGACGACAGCGUCUGUUGUUAAUUUUUGUGGUUUAUCUCUUCUCCUAAGUCUCAUAAUUUCAACCAUUGUUUGCUCUUAUUGUUGUGAUUUGUAAAAUUUCUCUUAGCAUGGUUAUUGUUGUCAUCCAAAGGAAGUUUUUCUUUACUAUUGAGCAUGAUUUUUUAUUUUUGUGAUUUGAUGGAGAUUUCUUAAUUAAUCUCUUACUAUUGAGCAUGGUUAUUGUUGAAUUUUUUGUUUGAAAAAAUAAUUCUUUGAAAGAAAGCAAUUAAAGAUCAAAAAAUAGUUAUCUUUUGUAUUAAAUAGUUUGGUUGUGCAGCCCUGUCUAUGACCAUAUUAUUAAUUUCAUGUUUUAUCAACUAAUCACAUGUUCCUCUUGAUGGAUACGGAAUGCACUCAUUAAUUUGGUCACAAGUUAUGUGAUUCUUCUCAUGUGUCACAAGUUGUGUAAGGUUGAAUCUAAAGUUUUAUAAAUGACGUAAAUUAUGAACAGCAAUGUACAUGACUCAUUCUAGUUAUAAUCUAAAGGGUUGAGCUUUUUCCACAAUGCAUUAAGUUGGGAAAACUUUUGGGGUCAUGAGAUGAUCUUAUUGCCAUUGGCAACUGGUGAAAGUUGUGGGGUCAUGUAGGGGUCAUGGAUGGAUUGGGAAGGAUAUAAGAGGUAUAGUCUAGAGUAUAGGCAAUUGUUCCAACAAGAGUAGCAUAGCGGCCUGCAAUACUUAUAUUUUUCAAGUAUGUUUGUCCACUGUAUAGGAACCUUACAUGUGCCUACACCUUGAUAUGUGACUAAUUCUACUUUUGUGCCUACACCUUGAUACGUGCCUGCACAUGAUUUUUGUGUUAUCUUUUGUUAUGUUUCAUGUAGUUCUGGAACUGUUGUCAUGUUUUUAUCUUUUCUGCUUUGUUGCUUUAUGAUUCUAUUAUUCAUGCUUUUGAAAGUAAUGUCUUUCAUGGGGUUUGUGACUUUGUUGCAUGGUUACUAUUUUAUGAAGGAUGGAUUCACAAAUAAUGGACGAUACCUUUUUCACCACACUCUUGCAAAAUGGUGAAGAAGGUAUUAACAACCCCCCCUAACCCGGGCUAGUGUCUUGCAGGAUAAUGUUGAGAUCAAGGUUGAAGUAACACAACCCGAAGGGAAAGUAAGGGCAUGAACUAAAAAAUCCCAACAAGGUGUAUCCUUUUUCGUGAAGGAAGACAACGUCCUUGUAUCAGGCUGGCUCGACAUUAGCAUAGACACUAUCAAGGGGGCUGACUAAAAGUCCACCCAAUUGUGGAUAAGAAUUCAUAAUUAAUUCAAUACUUUUUAAAAACCUAAUUGGCCUAAACGUUCUGUGGACCCCGUUGACUAAUCGAUAGUCAACCAUCCAAAAAACCAUAAACAAGUUUUGUGGUUGCUUGGCCCAAGUUAAAUCAGUGCAUCCAAGCGGUACCAAUGAACAAGACAAUGUAUGUUUCUAAUUAUUAUAAAUUUUCAUUGAAAUAUGUAUUAAUAUUUUUAUAAUUGUUGUUUAGAAGGAGAAGACAAAAGUAGUGUACUGAUCGACACAAAAAGCCACCUAUAAUUUGGACCAUUGUUGGAACCUAUUAAGGCACCAACCAAAGUGACAAGUGUAUAUAAAUCAUUUUUCAACAAAGAAAAAGGGAGGCUAUAAGAAAAUUAAUAGUUAGAAAACUAUUAAAGUUUGUCUCAUUUAGUUUAUCUUAUUUAUCUUAUUAAAGUCUGCAUACUUUAUGUUGUGCCAACAUUUAUGGAUGGUUUUGUUUUUGCAGGUACUACCCAGAUGACCCUAAGUGGCAAGUUGACAUUGCUGAAGCUCUUUAUUUAUUGUGUUUUGUGCUGCUGUUAUGUGUUGUUGGAAGUACAGAUUUAUGUGGAUGGUUUUUUUGUAACUUAGUAUGACAUAUCUGUGUUUUUUUGGUUUAGCAUAGAAGAUGUGUAUUAUACGUAUUGGGUUGUAAUAUUGGGGUUUCAUUUUGUGCUGCUGGUUUGUGUCAUUGACAUGAACACAAAUAUGUUGCUAGUCAUGAUAAUUUCUUGUUGGAAGUGCAUAUUUAUGUAGCUGUUUUUUGUAA